UAUGUGUGUUGUGUGUGGUGUGUGUGUGUGUGUGUGUAUUAUAUAUAUGUAUAUUAUAUAUAUAUAUAUAAAAUAAUAUAUACAUAUAUACAUAUAUACAUAUAUGUGUGUGUAUAGUAUGUAUGUAUGUAUGUUACACACACACACACACACACACACACACACACACACACAA